rnacentral:rRNA from 1 species
UGGGGAAUAUUGGACAAUGGGCGAAAGCCUGAUGGGGCCAUGGCGCGUGUGUGAAGAAGGGUUUCGGGUUGUAAAGCACUUUAAGUGGGGAGGAAGGGGGGUUAGUUAAUACCUGGCUGUUUUGACGUUACCGGCAGAAUAAGCACCGGGUAACUCUGUGCCA